rnacentral:rRNA from 1 species
UACGGGGGGGGCAAGCGUUGUUCGGAAUUACUGGGCGUAAAGGGCUCGUAGGUGGCCAACUAAGUCAGACGUGAAAUCCCUCGGCUUAACCGGGGAACUGCGUCUGAUACUGGAUGGCUUGAGUUCGGGAGAGGGAUGCGGAAUUCCAGGUGUAGCGGUGAAAUGCGCAGAUAUCAGGAGGAACACCGGUGGCGAAGGCGGCAUCCUGGACCGGCAUUGACGCUGAGGCGCGAAAGCUAGGGGAGCAAACGGG